GGCCUUUUGUUAUUUAUUUAAGGUCUAACCUGCCCCCUGAGAAUUUUAAGGGCCGCGAUAUUUUGAUCGUGCUAAGGUAGCAUAAUCAAUAGUUUCUUAAUUGGAAGCUGGAAUGAAUGGUUGAAUAAGAAAAUAGCUGUCUCUGGUUUAUUAUAAUGAAUUUUAUUUUUAAGUAAAAAAGCUUAAAUAUAAUUAAAAGACGAGAAGACCCUAUAGAGUUUUAUAGUUUUAAUUAUUUUUUUUUUUAGUAUUUUAAAAUUUAUAUUUAAAAGUAUUUGGUUGGGGUGAUUAAAAAAUUAAGUGAACUUUUUUUGUAUUUAAACAUUAAUUUAUGAUUAUUUGAUCCAGUUAUAUUGAUUACAAGAAAAAAUUACCUUAGGGAUAACAGCGUAAUUUUAAUUUAAAGUUCUUAUUGAAAUUAAAGUUUGCGACCUCGAUGUUGGAUUAAAAUUAAUUUUUGGUGUAGCAGCUAAAAGUUUAGGUCUGUUCGACCUUUAAAAUUU
rnacentral:rRNA from 1 species